ACCUUACCUUAGUACAGCCGUGGGGGAGACGCAGCACCAAGCUCUCUCGGUUAGUUUCCCUUGGUUGUCAUGACAACUCACCAUGCACUGGGUGGUUGAGAACAGUAGCAGUUUAUCGCACCAGGCGUCCACAGACCAGAGACCGGACGUCAUCAGCGCAUCAGCAGGGUUAUGCCCCCUGGACGGACACGCAGCAGCUUUGUUCUGGGUUCCCCACAUGAGAAGUUUCUGGGGAUGUGGAAGUUUCGGUAAAAGGUCUUUAGACCCCAGGACAGGGGCGGGGGAGAGCUCUAAGCAAAUCGGAACGGUUAGUGAGCCCAUGGCAGAACAGAGCCUCUGUGACCGACAUUCCCAUGCCAAAGGUUCAGAAGUCAUGGCUAACUCUGCUCUGUGUUUGUCAUUUAAGGUGUGAGUUCUCAGCUGUUCUUGCGACCACACCGGCCACUUGUUGCCAUGCCGACUUUUUGUGAUCAUGGACUCUAACCCUCUGGAACCAUACGCUAAAGGAAACUUUUCUAGAGGCUAUCUUGGUCAUGGCAUUUUAUCACAGCCACAAAAGAGUAACUACUAUAACGGAUUUAUCUUAUUAUUGGGGUCUAUCCUGAGCUCUUCCCCCCAUUUGUAUUAUUGAAGGAAGCUGAGGCAGGGACCACUGGCUGGUUACAUUUUAGCUACCUGUCCAGUCUACUUUGGCAGAAAUGGUAGCAUUAGCAGUGACUGACAGAGCUAAGACAUCCUUGCUCCUUUUUCUGCCCACCCCAAGUCACCCAGCUCCAUCAACCUCCUCAGCUGGAGAGCGAAGAAAGGCUGAAAGGAAAGCUCCAGCUUUGAUCCUCUACAGAGGCGGGCCUCUUUCUCUGCCCACACGACUAAGGGUCACCGAGAAGCAGCCCGAGAGCUGACCUUAGCCAGGACCCACAGGCCUAGUGACCUGCUUUGAAGAGUUGCUCAAAGCCAAGGACAAUGAAAGGGGUCUGGGACUUGUUCUCUGUGCAGACGUCCGCAUGCCGCAGCUCUCGACCCUGUUCUAAUGACUUCUGUCUUGGGAGGACAAGAUAAUCCCACCAUCAAGCCAACUUUAUGAGCAGCUCGAUCUGCACAUCUUCUCCUCUGACCCGAGCCUCUGUUGGGAUGGGGCUGUCUCUGCUUGCAUUCUUAACCCUGUUUUAUUCCCCGUGCAGAAAAAGAUAAGCCUCCUUGUGGGAAAGCAGCUGCUUUGGAUCAGGUUAGAAGCAGUAAAUCUGGAAACAAACAUAACAUGAAUGAAAUGGUAUCAGGACACGAUGUGAUGAUGAAAAGCCCAGGCUUUUGGCUCUUGCCGCAGUCAGCUCGGUUUCAUGUUUCAUUCACACGGACUUCACACUGUUCUGUGAUUAAAAAUUUUCAUCGCCUGAUUCAGUAAUUCACAAAAGGUCCUUUCAUCAAUGCCACAUACAAUUUCGAUCAUCUUAAAAUUUCCAUGGAGACAGGGAAUGGAGCUCAGAGAUCAGUGUCACGUCUGCCACUUCUUCAAACACUUCAUGCAGAAAACCUUCCAGAGAUGUGAUUGUGGGAUCCUAGACCUGGAAAAUACCUGUCAUCGGGACGCGUCCAUCUGUCAAAGGAAUUCAUUCCAACAACAUUACUCGGUGCCUGGCAUUUAUUUUGUAGUUAGAAGGGGGAAAAAAAAUCAAUGUACAUUUAUGAGCUUUACAAAAAAAAAAUAGCUUAAAAUAAUGCAGCUACUCUUAAUUUACUUCCAUUUGGUAUUUAUAAAUCAGUUUAUUUAAAUAAUUUGAGAACUCCAAUUUGAUUUCUUUUGAUGGUAUGUUGUGUAAAGGAGGUUUCAGUUACAUUUGGAAAGCUGAUUUUUUUUUUUACUUUGAAAAAUGCAUGGAUAGCAUUAUUUUAAAUAUGCCUCAUAUUCUCAGUAAAAUUUCUUUAUGUACAAGUACUAUGAAACUGAAUUAUUUCUAGUAUGUAUUUUUUAAGAUAUUUUCUCACUUCAUCACCUUAUUAGUGUUUAGAGCAACAGCUUCAACCGCAAUGAAGCAUUUAGCACGGCAUUUAAUUGACACUUAGAAAAAUGAAAGCUGCUGAAAGUGUUGCCCUCUAAAAUCAGAAUUAACUCCAGAUUUCUGCAGCAAUCUUAUGCCGUAAAUGCUUUAAAAAUGCCAAAUUCUUCUGUGAGGAAAACUGAAAUCUCUUACCCUGUUGACCUUUGAGGUUUUUGGUUUUUUUUAAUGAUUCAUUUGAAAAAAAUAUCACAUCUUUGAAAUUCAAGCUGUUUUCUAAUGCUCGGUGUGAACCCGUCCUGAUUCAGUGAGAGCCGUGGACCUUAAGAGAGCAUAAAGAAAGUUCCUCAAAAGUGAAUGUGAGACAUCCCCGCACUCACUAAGUAUGGCGGAAAACUAAAACAGAAUUGGCAUGUGAGUCCACUGAGCGUUCAAGUCAUUUAAUUCUUAGGUAAUUUUUUAAAAAUGCAUCUUAUUUUUAUGAAAUGAUAAAACAUGACACAGUACUUUUAAAAUAUUAACUGUUAUUCCUUGAAUAAAUGACUUAUUUCCGGAUUUGUUUUUAAAAUAUUGCCAGGUGAACACUAGAUGGACAGAAGUAAUCUGGAAUAGUCUGGAGAAAAUGCUUUAUGCUCAUCCAAGCCAGUAGUGCACCUUGGCAAGAUUUUAGAAUUUGAAAUUUUCUUUUGAUUUUUUCCCCCCACUUACUUUUCUUUUUCUCACCUAUCCCCCUCCCCCAACACACACACACACACACACACACACACACACACACACACACACACACACACACCGAGACAGAGUCUUAAUAUGCAGCCAUUCAGGUUUGGAACUUACUGUGUAGACCAGGCUGACCUCAAACUCAUAAGAGAUCCUCCUGCCUCUGUCUCUUGGGUGCUGGGAUUAUAAGUAUCACCACCACGCCCAGCUCUUAAAAAAUAUUUUCAAUGUAAAUUUAAACUUCAUUGCUUUUAAAUGUAGUUUCAACUGCUGCUAGAUAUUUUAUAGUCAUUUUUUCAAUUCCUAAAAAUGAAAUUGAUACUCAAUCCUGAAACUGAUAAGUAUGUCAAAUUUUCAGGUUCUAUCAGGUUAAUGUAAACAAGACAGUUAAGCCAGAAGGCACAUGGAAUGGAAUAUCUUGAUAUGAGUUUGAGUUAAAUAUCAUAUUUCUCUUGAGAAAGACAGAUUUUUCUCGAAAGAGUUACCAUGGUUUUCUUCUUGUGACAUUAAAAUCGAAUGAAGUUGUUUUCCGUUUUAAAUGCAUUUUCUAAAAUUUGAAUAAUAAGUUAUAGUAUUGUAAGAAUUAUAAUUUUAAUACAAAUUAUAAGAUUUUAUUUACAUAAUAGAUGCAUUUGCUGAGUAGAAAUGUUGCUUUUUGUUUGCUUUUGACAGGAUCUCAUUGCCAUGACUGGCUUUGAAUUCAUGGAGAUGCACUUGACUUUACCUCACAAAUGUAGGAUUAAAGAUGUGUGCCUCCA